CAAACCUUUAUCACCAUCUUUACAGAUAAAUCCAGAGCUUCAACGGACAAAACAUCAAGUGAUGGAACUAUGAUUGAUCCUGCAACUUCAAGUGGCACUGAGUGUUCAGUAAAUGAUUUUCCUGCAGAUAUGGGAACCCAUGCGCAGCGUGCCAUUGAUAUACAGUUACAGGAACUGAGUCAAGCGCUUAUCUCAGACAAAAGUGUGUCUGCGUCUCACAAUUGGACUUUAAGACAAGUAUUAUCUGAAAGCCAUUGGUUACAAGCAAGACAAACCCUCUUGGACUACUCCCUAACAUCAGA